GGCGCUGAUGGGUGGAAACGUCGAGGUGUCUCUCGUCUCCUGUCAGGGCUUCUGGGUAAUAACGCGCCUGUACGUCUGGCAGCAGACGGAGCGAGCGCAGGAUGAGGGCGGGCAGGAGGGGAAAUAAAAAACCCCCACACAACAACGACAACGAAAACAACAACAAAACAACGGCAGAGGAGACGGAAAAUGUGGGCUUGCGAACAAAGGCGCUACGCUAGCGCUAAGAUUGCUUGCCUCUGGGGAGCUGCGGCCAGAAUGUAAUUUUCUUGGAGUAGUGGUAGUGAGUUUAGAGCAGAUCCUUCGUCUCACUGUCGUUACAUCCUUAUUACUGUCUGCUCCAGUGAUGCUUCAUAUCUGCAUUUUAGAGCCAGAACACGCAGCCUGGUGACGUAUUCAGUUUCAGAAUCACCUCUACUUCUUUCUUUCUUGUUAUCAGUGUGGAAGUCCUUCAGGUUUUUGUCCAAAGGGCAGGAGGUGGAUGUUUUAAGUGCAAGUCACAAAUUUGAGUAUGGGCACUUUAGUGUUCAGUGUUCUCCAUGUAAAUCCUCCCAGUCACUCAGUGUCACCUGCUGGAGGAGAAGGCCAUUCAGUCGGAGAGGACAAAUGGUAUGUGAAGCUGGACAGAUGGUAGAAAAUGACAGCGGGGCGAGAA